rnacentral:rRNA from 1 species
AUUGAACGCUGGCGGCAGGCCUAACACAUGCAAGUCGAGCGGAUGAAGGGAGCUUGCUCCUGGAUUCAGCGGCGGACGGGUGAGUAAUGCCUAGGAAUCUGCCUGUUAGUGGGGGAUUACGUCCGGAAACGGGCGCUAAUACCGCAUACGUCUUGAGGGAGAAAGUGGGGGAUCUUCGGACCUCACGCUAUCAGAUGAUCCUAGGUCGGAUUAGAUAGUUGGUGGGGUAAAGGCCUACCAAGGCGACGAUCCGGAACUGGUCUGAGAGGAUGAUCAGUCACACUGGAACUGAGACACGGUCCAGACUCCUACGGGAGGCAGGAGUGGGGAAUAUUGGACAAUGGGCGAAAGCCUGAUCCAGCCAUGCCGCGUGUGUGAAGAAGGUCUUCGGAUUGUAAAGCACUUUAAGUUGGGAGGAAGGGCAGUAAGUGAAUACCUUGCUGUUUUGACGGUACCAACAGAAUAAGCACCGGCUAACUUCGUG